AGCGCUGUACACGGGAGUCCGGUGAGCCGGGCUGAGAGGAAGCUUCUCCAAGCUUCGACCGUCGAACCUGAUCCGGAUCAUGCCGGCGCAGGGAGGACUUCUCGCACCCGU
rnacentral:ncRNA from 2 species